AUGCAAGUCGAACGAGGGUACAAUACUCUAGUGGCGGACGGGUGAGGAAUACGUAGGAAUUUGCCCUUAAGUGGGGGAUAACCCGGGGAAACCCGGAUUAAUACCGCAUGAUCUUUUCGAAGCAAAGCCGGGGACCGCAAGGCCUGGCGCUUUUGGAGAAGCCUACGUCGGAUUAGCUAGUUGGUGAGGUAAUGGCUCACCAAGGCUGCGAUCCGUAACUGGUCUGAGAGGAUGAUCAGUCACAUCGGAACUGAGACACGGUCCGAACUCCUACGGGAGGCAGCAGUGGGGAAUAUUGGACAAUGGGCGAAAGCCUGAUCCAGCAAUACCGCGUGUGUGAAGAAGGCCUUCGGGUUGUAAAGCACUUUAGGUCGGAAAGAAAAAACUUGAGUUAAUACCUUAAGUCUUGACGGUACCGACAGAAUAAGCACCGGCUAACUCUGUGCCAGCAGCCGCGGUAAUACAGAGGGUGCAAGCGUUAAUCGGAUUUACUGGGCGUAAAGCGUGCGUAGGUGGCUGUUUAAGUCGGAUGUGAAAGCCCUGGGCUUAACCUGGGAACUGCAUUCGAUACUGGAUAGCUAGAGAUCGGUAGAGGGCAGCGGAAUUCCGGGUGUAGCGGUGAAAUGCGUAGAUAUCCGGAGGAACACCGAUGGCGAAGGCAACUGCCUGGGCCUGAUCUGACACUGAGGCACGAAAGCGUGGGUAGCAAACAGGAUUAGAUACCCUGGUAGUCCACGCUGUAAACGAUGAGAACUUGACGUCUGCUUGCUAUGCGAGUAGGUGUCGUAGCUAACGCG
rnacentral:rRNA from 1 species